rnacentral:lncRNA from 12 species
GACAGCAGAUGCAGCUAAGCGAGGAGGCGGCUCAAGAAAUAAAAACAAUUAAAGGUGAUCGGGGCCACAGCAGAUUGGAAACCCCAGAGUUCAUCAGUGAACACCCUGCUCCUCCAGGAUCAAGCACAUCUCCUCUCUGGUUAUUUGCCUUGCAUGGAGAACUGCAUGGACCCCUGAACUGGAAGAACUGGGCUGGUGAACAGAGGACAGAUCAGGGCAAGAGUGACUCAUUCCUCAUAUCAAUAGAGCUUAUUGAAAAUUCCAGGGCUACGCACCGAGGUUUGAAGCAUUUGUCAGAUAAUUCUACUACACCUGGAUUCGCACUUCCAGCCGUGACCCAGUUUGACUUCCUAAGUGACCCCACCCCCACACCCCGGCUCAGAACUGUCUCUCCUACUGGCUGGCACAGUAACUGA